AACGAACGCUGGCGGCAUGCCUAACACAUGCAAGUCGAACGAGACCUUCGGGUCUAGUGGCGCACGGGUGCGUAACGCGUGGGAACCUGCCCUUAGGUUCGGAAUAACUCCCCGUAAGGGGUGCUAAUACAGGUUAAUGUCAUCGGACCAAAGAUUUAUCGCCUUUGGAUGGGCCCGCGUUGGUUUAGCUAGUUGGUAGGGUAAAAGCCUACCAAGGCGACGAUCCAUAGCUGGUCUGUGAGGAUGAUCAGCCACACUGGGACUGAGACACGGCCCAGACUCCUACGGGAGGCAGCAGUGGGGAAUAUUGGACAAUGGGCGAAAGCCUGAUCCAGCAAUGCGGCGUGAGUGAUGAAGGCCUUAGGGUUGUAAAGCUCUUUUACCCGGGAUGAUAAUGACAGUACCGGGAGAAUAAGCUCCGGCUAACUCCGUG
rnacentral:rRNA from 1 species